CCUACUGACCUUUCCGAGAAAGAAAGCUUGAUGCUGGUCUUCCUUGUUUAGAGAAAGCUCCUGAAACUUAUGAAAGACUAAACAGAACAUAGUUGUUGGAGUUGAAGGGAUGAGAAAGAAAAUACUAAAGUGCACAUCUCAUAAGAAAAACUGUCACCAGAGCUGGUUACAGCUCACGCCUGCAAAUGCAAAAGUUUUAUGAAGACAACAGUGCACAGGAAGACUUGCUAGGCUAUGGAUUAAGCCAAUUAUUUAGAGAAGAUGGUGUGCACAAGGAAAGCUCAGAACUCAAAAGCAGAGAUUAGGUGUCUUUCUAAGAAGAAUAGGUGGAGGGACAAGAUUUGUGGGGAAAAAACCUGCUGAAGAAAAUGUUCCCCUUACUGUGAAAA